CGCCCACAUUGGGAUGAGACUCUGCCCAAACUCCUCGGGAGGCAGCCAGUAGGGAAUCUUUCCACAAUGGACGCAAGUCUGAUGGAGCAACGCCGCGUGAGUGAAGAAGGUUUUCGGAUCGUAAAGCUCUGUUGUUGGUGAAGAAGGAUAGAGGUAGUCACUGGCCUUUAUUUGACGGUAAUCAACCAGAAAGUCACGGCUAACUACGUGCCAGCAGCCGCGGUAAUACGUAGGUGGCAAGCGUUGUCCGGAUUUAUUGGGCGUAAAGCGAGCGCAGGCGGAAGAAUAAGUCUGAUGUGAAAGCCCUCGGCUUAACCGAGGAAUUGCAUCGGAAACUGUUUUUCUUGAGUGCAGAAGAGGAGAGUGGAACUCCAUGUGUAGCGGUGGAAUGCGUAGAUAUAUGGAAGAACACCAGUGGCGAAGGCGGCUCUCUGUUCUGCAACUGACGCUGAGGCUCGAAAGCAUGGGUAGCGAACAGGAUUAGAUACCCUGGUAGUCCAUGCCGUAAACGAUGAGUGCUAAGUGUUGGGAGGUUUCCGCCUCUCAGUGCUGCAGCUAACGCAUUAAGCACUCCGCCUGGGGAGUACGACCGCAAGGUUGAAACUCAAAGGAAUUGACGGGGGCCCGCACAAGCGGUUGAGCAUGUGGUUUAAUUCGAAGCAACGCGAAGAACCUUACCAGGUCUAGACAUCCAGUGCCAUCCUAAGAGAUUAGGAGUUCCCUUCGGGGACGCUAAGACAGGUGGUGC
rnacentral:rRNA from 1 species